rnacentral:RNase_P_RNA from 1 species
GGAGUCGGCCAGGCAGUCGCGUCACGCUUCGGCGUGCCGAGGAAAGUCCGGGCUCCACAGGGCAAGGUGCCAGGUAACGCCUGGGCGGCGCGAGCCGACGGACAGUGCAACAGAGAACAGACAGCCGAACGGUGCCGCAAGGCAUGCGUGGUGAUGGUGAAACGGUGCGGUAAGAGCGCACCGCGUGCGGGGCCAACGCCGCACGGCACGGCAAACCCCACCUGGAGCAAGACCGAAUAGGGGAGUCAUGACGUUGCCCGCGUCGCUCCCGGGUUGGUUGCUCGAGUCCCGUCGCGAGGCGGGACCUAGAGGAAUGACUGUCCACGACAGAACCCGGCUUAUCGGCCGACUCCUUCU